GAGAACCACGGGGUCCCACCUUGUUGGGGGAGCUUCCCAGAGGAAGUGAUACUUCUAUGCACAGAUGUGACAGUCACAUAGGAGUCAGCCAGGUGAGACGCCCUGGAGGAUGCUCCUGGCGAAGGGAACAACACAUGCAAAGGCUCAGAGGUUCAAGUGCAGAAGAAAGGCCUGUGCAGUUUGACCACCUUGAAGGGGGGAAUAUAAAGAGACGGAACCCGGUCAGACCUGAGUGUCGAAGUGCGCGUGCAGCGUGGCUGGGCUCGCUGAGACCCGGCCGUCCUUCCGGCGCCCCACGGGACCGCGCACGUCCCUGUUGCCUGGGUGGAGAAGUGCCCUUGUGACCUGCUUUGGCCGAGAAACGAGAAUAGAGAGAAGUGCAUGGGGACGUGCUGACACCCUAGGACGGUGGCGCCCCAUCGGCCUGGUCCCCAGGUGCCUGAGGUGAGCGGAGCCCUCCCCUGACCACAGCAACGUGUGACAGGAGCGAGAAAUGACCCCCACUGUUCUGGAAGCCGUGUGCCGUCGCUCCGUAUCCUAGCUCCCCUGACGGCGACGUGGAAACAGCGUCUGUGGUGAAACAAAGAAUGAAGAAAGGCAUCAGUAAUUUAAUGGCCACUGUCUCCGAGAGGCGGAGCAUCAGGUGACUGACAUGCUCUCAUAUUUACCAUUUUGCACUUUCCAAGCGCCUCCCGGGGCACGUGCCUGACUUGUACCGAGGGGAAGGAGGAGUGUCAUUAAGGAGAACGCGCGGCCACCGAGGACAGCCCUGCCCAGGGGCUGCGGGCGCCUGUCCCUCACCUCUGCCUCCCAAGCACUGAGCCUCUGUCCUGGUCAAUUAGCCCUUUAUUAUAGAUCGUUUCGUUCUCUAA